CGCCGCUUAAAGCCAGGUGCUCAGCCCCGCCCCGCGCUGCCGAGGCCGCCCCGGGCGGGGCCCGGCCGGGAGGUGCGCGCUGACGGGACCCGGCGUCCGCAGCCCUCCCCGCACGCUCCGUUCUUUUUACCCGUCAGGAUGUUACUUGAGAAUGUGGGCGGGCAAAACAAGGGAAUUAUCCGAGAAAUUGGAGCAGGUUGGCUCUAUGAACAAUAGAACCAAUUCAGAAAAUCAACAAAGGACGUGAGUAUGCAAAAUCUAACAUUGAUCCAUCUGGAAUUAGCAGCAUAAGUGCAUUAUUUAAGAGAGGAGAGUAGCUGUGAGCUACCGGAAUAGUGCUGCUCAACUGUGGCUGCGUGUGAAUAUCACGGAGAGCACUGAGGAACCUCCGUGCCCAGAUGUCAUCAUACUGGGCGUGGUAUCUUCACCUCUCUAAGCCUCACUUACGCAACCUAUAAAAAGAGGAGAUUGGUGUGUAUGGAAAUAAAGGAAGACCAACUGGAUCAGAAAAGCAAAGGCUAAUUAUUCUGAGCUUGCUAUAGAAAUGGCGUCAGACACCAAUGCUUGCAUUUUGGCAGCAACUCAAAGGGCUUGACGUGGAGGCUUUGGCUGUGUACUCAGGAUGUAGACUCUUCACCACAGCCGGGUUCCACAUGUGCCUCUGCCCAGACUGGUGGGUUUUGUCACAUGGACAUGAGUUUUGAUGAGCAUGUCUCAGUUGAGGAUCAUCCGAGCCAAGCACACAGGCGAGGACGUGAGCCCAGGACGUUAGCAGCCUAGAUGGUCCCGGUCACAACUGUUUGCAGUGGUCACCUCAGCACACAGCACAGAUUUGCUGUUUCGUGACUGGGACAGGGACAUCAGGCGCCAUUUGGACAACCCAAAAUCUGCGAUCUGCCAGGAAAAAGAGAAGGGCAGACCCGGCCUGCCCCAUGGACGCUGCCCCGUCAGUGAAUUACCUGGAGGAGCAGUACAGAUUCUCUCCGAGGCAGGAAGCUUCCCAAGAGAAAGGGAAGAGAGAGGGAGCAGCUGCUAUGUUCCCAAACUCACAAGUCAGGACAAGAUCUCUCAUUACUUGUGUUUCGGUUAACCGUCCAGUGCCCAGGAGGGAACCAUCCUGUGCCCGAGGCUCCUGCCAGCUUCUCUCCGGUGACCUGUGGCCCCGGGGCCUCUCGGUGAGCAGGAUCUCCAGCCCCACCUGUUCUUACUGGAGCGGAACAUUCUCGGGUGAUUCACGCACGAUGAAGCCUGAGAAUCCCUGCUAGAGGACAGAAACCUGCGCUUCUCUGCGAGGCGGCUGUCGGUGCAGAGUCUCAUCACCAGAGGCCGGAAGUUAGUCAUCAGGACCGAACUGAAGGCUCCUGGUGGCUUCAGGUUCCUGUCAUGUGGUGCCAUGUAAGAUGGUGACUUAGACACGAGGGACCGUGGAGGGUGGAAAGGCUGCUGGGGCCGUGGAUACUGUGACACUGCUUCAGCAUGACAAACAGCCCUGUGUUUCUCAGUAUCCACGUGGGUGCCCGACCAGCUGGAGAAGCUGGACGUGCAUAACCAGUUCAGUCCUGACAGUCAGGUUCCCAGAAGACGAGCCGGCCACCCGGCCCUCCCGCCAGCGGCCCGAAAGGAGCUGGCGGGAGUCCAUCAUUCUCAGGGUGCCUUUGUGAGUCACGCCUGAGUCCCACGCCACCUUCCAUACAGGCUCCCACAGGGAGGGAAUCUGGAGAUGGAACGCCUGCGUGACUGAGUGUACGUGCCAGCUUUUGAAGGAUUUGCCUUCCUGGUACAAAGAUGGUUUCCUCACUGGCUUUGAUGUCACACGUGUUUGGCCCCUGACUUGGAGCCCUCUGCUCGUGAAGAGUCAGCAGAGCACUUGGUGCCGCAGCUCCGUCACUAGGGGGCAAUAUGAGUGUGUUCAUUGGUCCCCGCCACACCCUCAUAUGCCAAGGGCCCACAGCGCAGGCCAGUGGGCCUUGUUCCGAAGAACCUGACUGAAAGGUUAUGGCCGGAUUCCUUAGGGAAAUGCUCUGCUCUUUUAGAAAGGGGACUUGUUCAAAAUACAUCCUGUGGAAACACGGGAAGAAGGUGCUGGGAAUGCAGACAGUUGCAACAACUUUCCAGAACUUUGUGAAGACCAAACGGUCAUGCUCUUUAGAGGGAACCUGCACAUCCUGGUUGGGAAUCCUUUGGUCGGCAAUGGGGUGAGGGUCUGCCCCAUGCCUGGGCUUCUGUCCCCCGCCCAAGUCACUACUCACCGUGGCCGCCACCCUCUGGCCCUCAGGAGGUGUCAACAUGCCAUCCUGUAUUAGAACCCGGCCUAGCCCGGGUACACAGCCAUCCUGAGCUGACCACAGCGCAGCUCAAGGGUCACAGCAGAGACUUACAAUGCAGGGAGUGACAAGCACUCCCUAGCCUGAGGCUUGCUGUGCAAGGAAGACCACACCUGUCCUCCCCUAAUGGGACAGGAGCACAAUGUGGACAGGCCACUGCCUGUCCAUCUCCCCAGGCUGCAGUUCCUUCUGCAGGGUGGCUUGUCCCCUCCAGUCACUGGGAGUUGGAGGGUUCUGAUGAUUGAACUCGGCUUCUUCACAGCCUCGACCUGGGAGGCUUAUCUGGUAUGUGCGAGGAGCCUCGUAAAGCUUGUGUCAUGUGAGCUGUGGAAAUCAACGCCAGCAGAGUUCAGUUUCUCAUCACUGCUACUCUAAAGGGAAAACGUAGGAGGCUACAAAUAUUUAACAAGCAAGCAGCCAACCAAACAUCUAAAAAAAGAAAACCCCAAACCGAAUUCCAGAAUGAUCUGUAAGCCAAUGCUUUCAAUCGUAGAGUUUCAUGAUGAGGGGUCUCUCAGAACACGUGUCAGCCAUGCGGUGUUCAGGGUGGUGAGUUGUGGUCUGUGCGGCUUUCUCCGUGUCCAUUUGCUCACACUUUGCUUUGUCUCCCGUGCUGUCUCCACGGGGAGCUGUCUCCACAGGGAGCUGAACGCACAAAUGCUGGGUGAUGCAACCCUUAAUUCCUCUGAGCAGUGUCCGAGGUACUUUUGGAAUUAGUGUCCCUCAUGCCACCUUCUGGCCGUCAUUAAGAAAGCACCGAAAACGAAGCUGGUAGACAGAGACGACUUGAACUUGGAGCCUUGCCUUCCCAGGUCGGCUUUCCCACCCCAGCGACUACAGUGCUUCUCAGUGUGCGACCUGGGCCCAGCCGUCCCUACACAGCCAGCAUCUCCAGGGACAGGGGACCUGGGUUUGGAGCAAGAACUGGCCACUCCUUUGUCGCUAAGGUCGGAGAACCAUUGGCUUAGAGACCAGAAUUUUCCUGCCUCUGAUUCAUUAUGGAGUUUAGCUGCCUCCUCUGCCCUCCCCCAGUGCUGUCUGCAGCUACCAGUCCCCUCAGGGCUCAUGCUUAAUCGAUAAUCUGCCUUAGUGUCAGGUUACAGAUGUGAACAAGGUCCUUUCUUCCUUCCUUCUUUCCUUCCUUCUUUCCUUCCUUCCUUCCUUCCUUCCUUCCUUCCUUCCUUCCUUCUUUCUUUCUCUCUCUCUCUCUCUCUCUCUCUCUUCCUUUCUUUGAACACAGUGAAUUUCUUUUUUAAUUUCGUUCCUCUAUUUUGGGAUCCCAAGUAUUGUUGGAUUCUUUUACAUCUUCAUGAAAAUCCUGUUUCAAUGCCAUGUUAUCUUAUCUAGAUCAUGAACAAAAUAUUGAAUAUUUUCAAUUUGUUUUACAAAUUUCAAAACUAACAUUCAAACCUUUUAAACAGCAAAAAUGUGAGAGCCAUAGCAUUCACAUAUUUAUAUUCUGAAGGUUCUAAACCUUCAUUAAAGAAACAUUUGAAAAAAAAUACUACAUAUCUAUAUCUGUCUAUAUAUCUAUCUUUCUGUUUUUACCUAGAGGUUAUUAGUGAGGAAAAUGCAACAGCAGAUUAACAUUGUGUUAAACUGACCUCGACCACAAUUUGUCUUACAAAUUCCAAAACUGUAACUUUCAAACCCGUUAAAUAGGAAAAAUAUGACAGCCAUGUCAUUCACGUGUUUAUAAUUUGAAGGUUCUAAACCUUCAUUAAAAGACAUAACAUUUGAAAAAAUACUACAUCUGUCUAUGUAUCUAAUC